rnacentral:lncRNA from 1 species
AUCCAGAACACCACCAUCCCCAUGCCCCUGUUACUGCGAAUUUUGAAUCUUGCACGUGUGGUUGAAGUUUUAUACAAGCAUGGUGAUGGCUUUACUCAUGCUGGAAUUUUUCUCAAGGAUUCUGAAGUUUCUCUGUUUGUAGAACCUGUGCCCCUGUAGGCCUAGAAUUUGAACUUGUCCUCUGUUGGAGCAUAAAAUUUCUGGUCCUCCAACAAGUAAUCUUAUGUCCAUGUUGAGAAGCCGAUCACCGUACUUCGCUUGCCACAAAUGAGAGAGAAGGGAGUACCUGCAAGAGAACACGCAGAUGCCCAAAUCAGUGUUUGUUUAUAAAUAUCAUAGUAGUAUCAGAAUAUCCCUUACCCAAGUCCUGUAGUAAAAUAAGGAGCCAGUCUUCCAUGAUUGGAACCAUUGUUUGAAUUAAUUAUUAGUUUGGUGUUUCUGUUUGCUCUUGAUGCUAUGAAUGAAAUAAAAUUUGUUUAACCUUUUAGCAUAUACUUGUAAUGGGAGUUGUAGGGAGGGACUUGUAGUGGAAGUUCCAUUGUAAGCCAAAUUAAUUACCAAAUUAGUUAGUAGAGUGAGAAUCUGGUUGUAUUUAUUAUAUCAUUAAGAGGUAAAUAGCUUAGUUGAUACACAGUUCUUUACAUGGGCCCGGAUCCACUGCAAUUCUUCUCUUUGAUAAACUUGGUCACGUAUCUCUUGCAUGAGUUUCCCAAUUGACUCAUGUUCCAUACCUAUACAAUUUAUGAAGGUAUGGUAAAAAUACCCAUUUUCUCUUUCGUGGUCAUAGACUCAUAGGCUUUAUCUAAGCAUCAAGCGUCACCAACCAUUGACAAAACCACAUACAAAAUAAAGUAAAUUUAGAUUUUAAUCACAAAAAAAAACUUUUAUUUUUGGAAAAAGUCAAAACUUUUUCAAAAAAGACAGAAAAACCUCUCAACUUUUAAAUCAAAAACAUGCAAAUGUAAAUAAUUCCUUAGAAAAUCCAAAAAUAAAUAAGGGUCAUUUUGUCCAUUCUGGCUUCUUUUAAAAAAUUUCUCUCCUCUGGCCUUUUAAGACACAUGUAUAUAGUAUAAUACAUGGGAGAGGGGUGAGGGGUUGGGGAGUUGGGUGCUGCGGGAUGGUGUUAUAGGGAGAGGUGGUUGUGUGCCACGGCAACAAUUUAAUAGGCUUUUUAAUGGAAUCGAACAACAUGGAACUUGAAGUACGAAUUUGUAGGACUAUUCUUGAUUAAAAAAAGCCUCAACGACGAAAGAUAGUUCGUGAAUAUAAUGGAUGUUUUGUGAUAAAAACCUAGCAUAAUAAGUACAUAAGAGAGGUCACAAGGUCUCAAGGAUCAUGCAUUCAAAAAAAAACUCGAAUUCUAAAUCAUUUAACCACUAAUUUAAUAAUUGUCAUUUUAAUAUUUUCUUUAUAAAGAGAAAAGGUCGUACAUGAAAUGAAAAGAAAAUAAGUCAAAGAACAAAAAAGGUGUUAUAAAAAUAACCUGGAAUAUGUAUGAAUAUUGAGCUGCACGUAAAGUAGAUGAGACACAGCAUUUAACGAGGUUCGGCUAUGCCCACGUCCUCGGAGAGCAGCAGCAGUAACUUUUUCACUAUAUAAAGUAAUAGGGCUACAACUUUAGAGUUUACAAUAUGUGAGGCUCACUGAAUUUUCUCUCUCUUUCCUCUUCUAUCUUUCCUCCUCUUUUUCCUCUUCUUUCCUCUUCUCCUUUUCCUUUCUUCUUUUCUCCUCUCUUUUCUCUUCUCCCCUUUCUUUCUUUUCUCCAUUGGUCACUCUUCCCAUUGCAAGUGAUAUGCCUAUUUAUAGGCUAAGGUUUUGGUAAAAUACAGGGAAGGGAAGGUUCCUGGAAGAUGCAAGGAAACUUCCUGAAUUGAUAAAUACAGGGAAGGAAAGUUCCUGGAAGAUGCAAGGAAACUUCCUCUGUGGGCUCCACCUUCAAACUUUUACAACACUCCCCUUUGGAGACCACAAAUGAUAUGGAAUAUGCCUCGUUAAAAACCUUGCCAGUAAAAACCUAGUAGGACAAAAACUGGUCGAAGGGAAAAAGAGUACAUAAUCACGUGUAACAUAAAAUUCUGUGUAUAUUGACGCGCGUGCGACACUGCCUCGUUAAAACCUUGCCAGGGAAAACCCAGUGGGAUAAAAACCUGGACGAAGGAAAAAGAGUACAGUGUGUAAGGGUCUGUAUUGACAGCACGCUCCCCCUGAUGCUUGGCAAAAUAUCUUUAAGCCAUACUGUUGAUCAUCUGUCUGAAUAUCAUAGUUGACACUGCUGCUGUGAGUCAAUAGUGUAUGAAGGUCUUUAUUAAUACCAUGCUCCCCCUGAUGAAUAUCUCCCCCUGAAAACUUCAUGACUAGCUUUUUCCAGUAAGCGACCAUAGAGAUUUCCUGAGUCCGCAUAUCUUAGAACAUUUGGGCUAUUUAUAAGUUCACUAAAAAAUAUGCCCGUAUAUGGUGUUAUGCUUAGAUAGCAUCAAAUAUGCCUCACAUCAUCCCAAAAUGAUGGUGAUGGAGUUGAGCCCUAUCUGGAAAAUAUGAUGUCCGGUCCAAUAUACUUCCGGAAAAUCAUUAAAGUGUCCAACGGAUAAUCCUCAUAAAAAUACUUUAAUACUUUCUUAGUAUAAGCAAGAAUUUCAUUGGCAUAAUGCUCGAUCGAGACAAAUAUUUCAUGAAUUCUGCAGAAGCUUUAAUGUGUUGCAAUCACAUUAUAAUCAAUGUACUCACUGAGGUAAUUUAUGCAUAUUAAUAUUGAGUACAAAUUUUGUGCUUCAAGCACAUGUCCUUUAGGGACUUGCUCUAUGCAAUAUCAAUCCUCUCAACGGAUUUUGGUUAAAAGGGAUUAAACUUUAUGACACAUUAUAUAGCUUUUACCUAGCUAUUUAUACAUCUUUAGGAAAUCGCUUCUGGCGAUAUGCUCUGUGCAUUAAUAACCUUUAAAGAUAAUAUGUUGGUCUCCGUAAUUGUGUAAUAAGGGGGGGCACAAUUGAAUCUGUAAAUAUGGAGAAAACCCAACAUUCCUUGUUUCUGCCAGAAACAGUGUGUCAUACAAAGUAGGUAUAUUCCCUUUUAUUCCGAACACCCAAGUAUAACUUUCAGUAUUAACAAAUUUUGGGGUUCGUAUUGUGGGUUUGUUCUUUCACGUUCAUUCUCAUUUAUAAUGGAAUUACCUCGUUCCAUUUUUGGCCAAUGAUAUUGUCGACAUUUAAUAAUUGAACGUGGUUCCAAUCAACACAGCCCAUUGAUGAUUUGAGUAGCUACUCCAAAACCAAAAAUUGUCAUUCAUUAAUUCAUGAUCCCACCAUUCUCAUGUGCAUGCGCAUGCAUCAAUUAUAAACAUUUCUUUGCUUUUGGGUACCCAAGCCACUUCAUGGGGCUUUUAUUAUGUGAGAAUGUGGAUUAUAACCUCCAAUUAAUGGAGCGUUAUUUUACAGUAGGGCGUGGAUAAUCUCUAUUUAGAGAGUUGGAACAUUUAGAACCCAUAUAUCUGUCAUGUUGCAGGCAUGCCACAGAUUAAUACAUACAUGUCAAUUAAUUUUUGGGACUUUAACCCAUAUGAUGGGACUUUAACCCAUAUAAUUUGCUACGCAUUAGGCGUGCAUAAUAUCAAUAUUGACAUGUCAAAGGAUUGUCCUUUCGGGACUUCAAUCCAUAUCAUUUGCUACGCAAUAGGCGUGCAUCAUAUUGAUCACUGCUAUACCCAUAUUCUGUUCUUAUGGGACUUUAAUCUGUGCAGUGUAUUAUCAAUGUAUCCAACUUGCAAUCUGUAAAAUUUGCGUUAAUAAUUCAUGGAUACAUACAAGCCAUUCUUUUGGAACGGACUUAUCUCCCCAUUUGGUUACCUUUCAAGAUAAAAUAUCAAAUAGGUAUAUAAGCAUAAAAUAACACAAGUAUUGCUUACAUCCUUAGGUGGGAGAAACUUUUCUCAAGUAUCAUUCAAGCUCAUAUCAGCCUAGUAAAUAUAAUGUAGCGCUUGAUGGUCUAGUUAUAUCCUGCAAGAGCAAAAAUCACAAUUCUCUUCUCUGUCAAAAACAAAUAACUCUCAGAGUUAGGAUCACUACAUGGAUUCAUUCUUCAGAUGUUCAUUCUAAAGAAAUAAAAUCUCUUACGAACAGAGAGUUAUAAAAAGAGAAAAAAUGCAAAAAGAUUGUGAUAUUGAUUGCAAGGUAAGGUAAGCAAUCAAGGAAGGAAGCUGGUGGGAGCAAACAACAAGCUCUCAUUUCUCCUAGUCUAGAAAGACCUCAGGAGAUUGGAGCAUAAGGUCACCUUCACAGUUCCCUAAUGUAGCGGAAACAUGAUCAGGGAUAGUCUUGCUUCCUGAAUGUAUGAUCAGAGAUAGUCUUGCUUCUUAGGCAUAUUAAGUGCUCACUGAUAAGAAAAACAAGUAGAUAUCGCAUCACUAGGUAUGGAGAAAACUGGAUGUCUUUUGCAAAGAAAAUUUCGUUAGUAACACAUUUAUACACAAAUACAAUGAAUAGGUAGAACUGGUGAAUUUCAAAUUAACCAUAGGAAAAUUGCGAGAUUCUCGGGAUACUUUUGAAAAAGUAGUUCCGUGAAAUCCGUAAAGCAAGAUCGGCUUUGAAAAUAAUACUUUGAAAAACGCCGAAAGUGCCGACAGGCAUUAUUAGAGGCCACGUGAAGUUUUGGACUCUGGGAAAGAAAAAGAUAAUAUGGGGAUUCGAGAAGAUAUUGGGGUCUUGAAAAGUUGCCACAUUUUCAUCUAUAGAUAUUGCCUUUGCAAACUGCGUUUCAACUCAAUUUCCUUCAUUUUCCGAACCUUUAGUUUUUCUAAGACUUUCUUCGAAACCUUCUUAAAAAAAAUGGCUUCCUCUUCUUCCUGCCCAAAUUAUUUCAAUUUAAAUGAUGCUCCCACAACAACCAGUGACGCCCAAGUUUGGCGUCCAUCCUUUGUAUCCAAAAAUCGUCAUCUCACAGUUAAUGAUUCUGUGAUGAUGAAUGAUGUUACUGCUGUCAUAGUAGCUAGGAAUUUCAUUAUUCCGAUGGAUGAAAUGAUGUUGACAGGGAGAUCAGAGGAAGAGGAUAUUGAUGACUCAAUGGCUUUUAGCAUUCAGAGUGCUGUUUCUGUUUCUAACAUGGCUGAUCGUUUGCGUGCCAGAGCAAACGAGGUUGAGAGGUUAGCUACUGAAAAUUCGUCUCUCCAAAGAAUGCUUCAUGAGUCUCAACAGGAGGUUGAGAAAUUUAAAGGAGAGAAUAAUGCCUUGUUGAAACUGGUGAGUUCGUACUCUGUUGAUACACUGAGAAGGCUAGACAUGCUGCAGGUCUCCAAUGAAAGAAUUUUGGGAGACCACGAGAAGCUCAUGGCUAAGCUUAAGAGGCGCCGUCAUCUUCCUGCAGAGCCUUCCAGAACAUAAUGUAAUUUUUUUUUUAUAGAUUUCACAGGGCCUGCACCUUCAUUGCAGGUGAAAAAAUCUAUCUGUUAUAUGUUCCUGUUAUAAUAAUUGUGCAUAUUCUUAAACUUGCACCUGUGGUUUUUACGUCUUUUCAAAAUGACGAUUUGGAACCUUGUGCCUUAUAGGUUCAAAUAACCACAUCGACUCUCCCAAAUUUCAUAUUUCAACGUAUGGUAGCCCGGAACUUAUGGCCUGGGCACAAACUCAGAAUUUAUUUGCCCUUUCCAAAUGGACAUGAAAUAUGAAUUGAGUAAAAGCCAUGAAAUAUCGCAAUAUAGUAGUGAAGAGCAUUAACUACUAUAUACCCACAACUUCAAGUUUAGGAUCUCUCAUAUAUUUGGAUCCAUGGGCUUCCGGCCCAGAUAUAACAAAAUAUGUAGGGAGUCUCAAUUCAUUAUUUGAGGUUUAUAUUAAUAUUAUCCAUUUCGCGGUGUAUUCUUAACAACCGGAAUUCACAAAAUAUAUUUCUUCCUUGAGGUGUCGAUUAUAACAAAAUCGAACUUUAAAUUCAUCAUCUUCUUAUGCCAAAGAAAUAUGUGGCAUACCACAAUUUGCAAUAAUACCUCAAGGGUUGUCCAUUUAAUUGUUGGAACUUCAGGUUCUCAACACUGUUAAAUUUUGAACUUCAGGCCAAAGCCACAUAUUCUCAUGGUAUGGACAUUUUUACAAUUUUCUGUACAUAUUUCGGGAUUUCAAGCCCUUACAUAAUUGUCCAUAUUUUGAGGAACUUCUGGCAUCUCAUUUAAUUGCACAUCCAUGAGUUUAAGGGACUGCAGGUUCCCUUUUGUAUAUAGUGACGGUUUACCCAAAAUGGUUAAUAUUUAUGCAUACGUCACUAUUCAUGUGAAUAGUACUAUUCAUCAAGUCAUGAAUACAUAUCUAUUCAUCUGCCAGUACAGUUAUCAUCAAUGUGUACGGCACCAUGAACCAAUACGGUACUGUUACAUCAUUAAGGAACUCUAGGUCUUUAUUUACAUGUCGGGAUCAAGGACCUUUAAGUCCAAUCACAUGUUUACAAAUACAGUACCGGAGAGACUGCCAGCUCUCAUAUCAUCAUCAAGGAUCUUCAAGUCCUGAUGUAAUUGUAUGAUGAGGAUCAAGGAACUUCUGGUCCUGAUCUGCAUACUGGAAAAACUCAUCAUACAGCACAAUUAAUCCAUAAAAUAAAUUGCUAAUAAAUAAAUUACUGGUAUGGACGAUAAACCCGCACCACACUUUAAAUAAAUGUAAAUGUGCGGUAAAUUAAAUUCAUAAAAUUAAGGUGCUUGUAUGGGCAUUAAUUCUGCUCCAUAUAUUUAAAUAAAAGUAAAGGCGUGGACGAUAAACCCGCACCACCCUUUUAAAUAAAUGUAAAUGUGCGGUAAAUUAAAUUCAUAAAUUAAAUUGCUUGCUGUAUGGACGUUAAUCCCGCACCAUACUUUAAAUAAAAUUAAAUGUGCGGUAAAGUAAAUUGUGCUUUUAUGGGCACUAAUUCUGCUCCAUACAUUUAAAUAAAAGCAAAGGCGUGGACGAUAAACCCGCACCACCCUUUUAAAUAAAUACUGUUGUAUGGGUAAUAAACCUACACCAUACAGUAAAUAAAUGUGGGGUUAAAACCACCACCGAAUAAAAUAAGAAAAAGGUUAGUAUUAGUAACGGUCUCCCACUGAUAAUAUGUUUAGUAUUACCAAGGGUCCAUUUUUGUUAGUGGUUAGUAGUAUAGAUAAUAGUGCAACACAAAAAUUAUACCUGAGAGCUUCUCGUGCUGAUAACGUGUUAUAAAAAUAACCUGGAAUAUGUAUGAAUAUUGAGCUGCACGUAAAGUAGAUGAGACACAGCAUUUAACGAGGUUCGGCUAUGCCUACGUCCUCGGAGAGCAGCAGCAGUAACUUUUUCACUAUAUAAAGUAAUAGGGCUACAACUUUAGAGUUUACAAUAUGUGAGGCUCACUGAAUUUUCUCUCUCUUUCCUCUUCUAUCUUUCCUCCUCUUUUUCCUCUUCUUUCCUCUUCUCCUUUUCCUUUCUUCUUUUCUCCUCUCUUUUCUCUUCUCCCCUUUCUUUCUUUUCUCCAUUGGUCACUCUUCCCAUUGCAAGUGAUAUGCCUAUUUAUAGGCUAAGAUUUUGGUAAAAUACAGGGAAGGGAAGGGUGAUCACAUGUGCUCUCACCUUCCUGAAUUGAUAAAUACAGGCAAGGAAAGUCGGCUAAGUUUCCUAAAUACUUCCUGAAUUGAUAAAUACAGGGAAAGAAAGUUCCUGGAAGAUGCAAGGAAACUUCCUCUGUGGGCUCCACCUUCAAACUUUUACAACAAAAGGCCAUUAUUUCUGAUUGUAGUAGUAGCUUUACUGGUUUUUUUUUGUUUUUUUAUUUUUUAAUUUUUUAUAAACCUUUCGCUCUCAAAGGUUAAUCUUGCCAUUAUCACCUAUUUCUUAAAAAGUGAGUACCGGGCCUGGGGUAGAGCUCCAUUUUGAGGACUUUUGUAACUUGUCCGAAAGUUUUGUGACGCUGCUUUUGUACCUUUGUAUACGACAAUAUUGAAUUCUACUUUGUUUUUAUUUCUUUUAAGAAUGAAUUCCCAUCCUUUUCUUUAUUUAAAUAAUUACUUCCAACCAGCCCUCACACCACCAAAUCGACCCAACUACCCACAAUCUUAUCGUUUGAAGCAAAAAAAUUAAGGGAUAGUACUUUUUUGCUAUCUUCAAUCAAUAACACAAUGACAUGUGAAAAAAUUAUCCUACCUGUCAUUACGUUAUUGGUCCGAGAUAGCAAAACGUGCUAUCCCCGUUACAUGAAAGUUUCGCUCUGUUCGAAAGGCUCGACGACAACUUACAAGCAGGGACGAUCCCUAAAAGGGACUAACUUGGGCUAUAGCCCAGGUGAUUACUUAGACUGAGUUAUUCUUGAUUUGCAUGGAUGAAAGAGUUUUAUAUAUAUGAUGUAUUUUAUUUUGGUUUUCUAACUUUCCCGUAUAGAGCAGAUUUCACACACAUACCCCCACAAUGCAAAACAUAUAUGCUUACAAAUAAAUGUUUGAACUGGUAUUUCAAGUACAACACUUUUUGAACACACAACAGACAAAAAAACCUGCUAUGAAUUGAUAAAAUUGAUAUUGGACACACCUUCAGUGUAUGGUAGGAAAGACCAUAUAUUAUAAGGUUUUUACAAGUAAGAGAGGAGGAUUCAAACAUGAGACCACUAGUUAGCAAGUCAAGGUCUUUUUCUACUAGGCCAGCCCCUAUUGGCAUAUAAGUUUAUAAACUUAUAAAUGAAAAGUUGAAUAAGAGGGAAAUUAGGUACCUGAGGCAUGUAAGAGCAAACUUUCAAUGCCUGAUGAGGCAAAGUUUAGAGAGAAGAGAGAGCAUCAACCAUUAUGGUAUGACAAUUAUCCUCCCAAAGUCAAGAUUCGCAUCUUCCAAGUCUUCAAUGUUUGUCGACAUUUGUGGAAGACAUAAACAGGCCUCUAUCAACCACCAGGGUUCUUAGCUUUAUGUCCUUUUCCACAAAAAGACAGUCUUAAGUACUAUUUUUUCAAACUCAGACUUUAGAAUUAUUAUUUUGGUACCACCGGUUCUUAUCUUUAUGCCCUUUUCCACACAAUGUCCCUCGAUAGAAAAGGACUAUUAGCAAAUUUAGCAUUAUUAUUUUGGUGCGUAUACUGUUUGGCCUGACAAUUGAUUACUUUACAAUUUACAUGGGUGAUUGGAGAUUGUUAGUAUUGCUGAAAGCAAUACAUACUGUUUGUCUCUCCGAUUCCGGUUGCUUAGGCAACAAGGUUAUAAGGUUUCAUGCGGUUAGUCUGCGGUCACGCGUUUGUUUAUAAUUCUAGCUAGAUUAAUUAAUUCUAAUUUCUUCCUCUAAUCUUGUAAUAAUAUUAAUGCAUGUGCUGAUGGGGCUAGCAGACAUGUUCAACAAAUUCAAAGACGAGGACGGGAGGUUUGAGGAGACACUUGUGAGUGAUGUAGUAGGGCUGCUAAGCUUGUACGAAGCCACACAUCUCAGGAUGCAUGGAGAGGAUUUACUAGAUGAAGCGCUUGCCUUCACCACCACACAUCUAACUACGGUGGUUGAAACGCAGCGUUUAAGCCCCUCACUUGCGAAACAAGUAACUCAUGCCUUGUACCAACCAUUCUGGAAGGGCUUCACAAGGCUGGAAGCAAGGAUUUACUUGUCCAUCUAUGAGGAGGAAGGCCACUCACAAAAUGAAACUCUCCCAACUUAGUGCAGCAAGUCCAUCAGAAAGAACUAAGUGAAAUUACAAGGUUAAUUAACUACAUUAAGUGAAAUGCUAAUUAAUUCAAAGUUAAUGAUUAUUAAUUGUAAUUAAUUGAGAUUUAUUCAGGUUGUGGAAGGACUUGGACUUUGUAAACAAGCUGCCCUUUGCAAGAGACAGAAUAGUUGAGAGCUACUUUUGGGCUUUGGGAGUUUACUUUGAGCCUGAAUAUUACUUUGCUAGGAUGAUAUUGGCCAAAGUUAUUGCUUUGAUAACCAAAUGGUUAUUGAAAUCCAUAUAAACCGAAUUAAUUUUUUUUUUAAUUUAAUUAUUGCAAGAAGUUUUAGCUAAAUACUGAAUAAUGAUCAUCAGUUUGACACAAGUCUUAUUAACUUAUUUUAAUCAUCAGGUGGUACCUCUUGUUAGAGUAUAAAGGGUUUAAUGUGUAGAUGGUGACAAGUGUCAUAAUCUAGGCCAUAGAAAGAGAUAUAAGCUCUCUCUUAUAUACUGGAACGAUGUACAGAAAUGAAUAAUCUGAAAAAGCUAAUAAUAAUACAAUACAAUAUUUUAUCAAAUUCUCCUUUAUUAUAUUUUCUUAAGCUCUGUUAACACAUCUUAGCCACAACCUGUCGAUAGAAAAGGACUAUUAGCAAUUUAGCAUUAUUAUUUUGGUACCACCGGUUCUUAGCUUUAUGCCCUUUUCCACACAAUGUCGAUAGAAAAGGACUAUUAGCAAUUUAGCAUUAUUAUUUUGGUGCGUAUACUGUUUGGCCUGACAAUUGAUUACUUUACAAUUUACAUGGGUGAUUGGAGAUUGUUUAGCCUACGUCAGGAGACGUGUCGAUGAGAGUGGCCUGUUUGGCCUACAUCCGGAGACGUGCCGAUGAGAGUGGCCCAUUUGGCCUACGUCAGGAGACGUGUCGAUGAGAGUGGCCUGUUUGGCCUACGCUCGAAGACGUGUCGAUGAGUGUGGCCUGUUUGGCCUACAUCCGGUGACGUGUCGAUGAGUGUGACCCGUCUGGCCUACGUCCGGAGACGUGUCGAUGAGUGUGGCCCGUUUGGCCUACGUCCGAAGACGUGUCGAUGAGUGUGACCCGUCUGGCCUACGUCCGGAGACGUGUCGAUGAGUGUGGCCCUUUUGGCCUACGUCCGAAGACGUGUCGAUGAGGGUGACCCAUUUGGCAUACGUCAGGAGACGUAUUGAUGAGAGUGGCCAGUUUGGCCUACGUCAGGAGACGUGUCAACGAUAGUGGCCUGUUUGGCAUACGUCCGGAGACGUGUUGAUGAGAAUGGCCCGUUUGGCCUACGUCAGGAGACGUGUCAAUGAGAGUGGCCCGUUUGACCUAUGCCCGGAGACGUGUCGAUGAGUGUGAUCAGUUUGGCCUACGUUCGGAGACGUGUCGAUGAGAUAAAUAUGUACAUAAAUUAAUCUUUUAGUUAAUUAAUUUCUUUUUCUAGUAUAUAUGAUAAAUUCUGAGGUAAAUAUGUACAAAUAAUUCCUUUCUACAGUCUUCCAAACUUGAGCCUAAAUAACAGUUUUUUUAAAACUAAAAAAUGUAUCGUUUAGGCUUAUAAACUGGCUCGAUCCAAACUGCCAUAUUGUUUCUAGAUUAGUUUCUCUAACUUGUAUUUAUAUAUAGAGAGCUUACAUUGAGAGAUCCCUCAAUUAUCCAAACUAAUUAAUUUUUAGAUAUUCCCCUGAAAUAAUCUUUGCAAUUAUUUGAAUAUUCCCACCUGAUAAUUAAAAACUAAGUUACAUAUAAAGAUUGUGUCUUGAUUUCACAGAUGAAAUUUCAAGUUCGAAGUUACUUGAAUGAAGUCAAAUGGCUCUACCAGAAGUACACACCAACAAUGGACGAAUAUUUGUCAAUAGCGCUUGGUACAUCCUAGCUACUUCAUGAUAGCAACCACUUCCCUUGUUGGAAUGGGAGACAUUGUCACAAAAGACUCCUUCCAAUGUAUUUUUAAUGAACCUAAGAUUAUAAACGCUUUAUUAGUACUUGGCAGAUUCAUGCGUGACAUGAGGUCCCACAAGGUACGUCUAUUCAUAUAUUCCAAUUUUAAACCUUACCAGAUAUCAUAUGUAUAUGUAGUUUGAGCAAAAGAGAGGACAUAUUCCCUUAGUUGUGGAAUGCUACAUGAAAGAAAAUGGUGCCACAUAAGAAGAAACAAUGAUCGAACUCAACAAACUAGUGAGUAAUGCAUGGACGGACAUAAAUGAAGAGUGGCUCAACCCCACCACUAUCCCUAGGCAGCUGCUAUUGCUAAUACUCAAUUUUGCACGUGCCAAUGAAGUCAUAUACAAGUAUGAAGAUGGCUUUACUCAUGCUGAGAUUUGUGCUCAAGGAUUCUAUAGUUUUCUCUGUUUGUUGAACCCGUGGCCGUAUAACACUAAAAAUUGAGAAAAAAAAUCCACACCAAAUACAUAUCUUGAUAAGAUGAAGGGUUCCCAAAAUCUAGAAGUCGUUGAUGAAGUUAGAAUCGUCUCUUUGAAUUGCCUGAAAAUCUAUAAAUUCUGUAGCAAUACAUGAAAUUCAAAACACAAACAAAUUAGAGAAGCCCAAUAGAGAAACUGAUAGAGGGAGGGAGAGAAAUAGAAUGACGAAGAAAGAGAAACCAACCGAUUGUUGUAGUGAUCUCUGGCCUUUUUGGGUAUCGAUUUGGGGCUAAGAGUAAUUAGAUGCAUAAGGGUAUUGAUUUAGGGCUAUGAUGACAAAUCAUAAGAUAUCGGGUUUUGAUUUCGUGCAGGAAACUGAAGCGCCUCCUCCAAAUUUUGAGUUUCAACGCUUUGUCUCCCAUCCUAAGAGCAGAUAUACGACAGCAAUCAAGGAACGUCGCAAAUUUAACACUUCCAAACCUAUUUGCGAUGUGAGAUGUGACGUUACUAAUUAAGGUGUCGCAAUUAUGUUGGUGGGAAUCACCCGCAUGUAAAAUUACAUAUGUUUGCUAGUAGGGAUGGCAAAAAUACCCGUAGGGGCGGGUCCUCGUCGGGUCCUCGACCCUAAAGGGGGGAGAUUUCGGGGCCAAAUGGGUAUCGGGUAUGGGGAUCCCCGAACUUGAAAAAUCCCCGACGGGUAUGGGGAGGGGAUGGUAUUGGCGUCCCCAUCCCCGAAUCCGACCCGAAAAUAUAUAUGUUUAUAUUUAAAUAAAUAAAUAAAUAUUUAUAAUAUUUAUGUUUAACCCUAAGUUAACUUCCCUCUCCUAAUUCUUCCUAAUUUUCAAUGGAAUCUCAUAUUGAUGUGAUUUUGAAUAGUUGAGUUGAACUUUAUAGUUAAUUUGGAUGUGUUGAAUGAUAAUUUAAUAUGAAACUUAAUGUUAAAAUGUAUGAUAAAUAUUUUUUAUGCAAAAAAAUCGGGGAUUCGGGGCUGGUACGGGGGAUAGUCCCCCGACGGGGGCGGGGACGGGGAUUCCCCGAAACCUAAUAAACGGGGAUGGGUUCGAGGACGGGGGCAGGGAUGGAGAGCGGGCAUAGGGAUGGUAUUGUCAUACCCGGCCCCUACCCGACCCAUUGCCAUCCCUAUUUGCGAGGGUCACGUCGACCGUCGUAAAUGGGCAUUUUUCUUGUCGUGCUCUAAUACCCCCGAUGAGAAAAAUUGUCUCUUUGUAUUAGAAUGAACCAGUGAUUACAAAAUGAAGUAUUCUGGUAUUUAUACCCAUGUUAAUACAAAGACUGUGUGAGUAACUAAGCUGGAAUGCGGCUAACUAAAUGUACAGAAUUAGUUACUAAUCCUGAAGAGCUAUAAUCCGCUGCCGUCCCUAGCAUUAUUGUUAAUAGAAUGAUAAUGCUACAACAUGAUUAAAGGUAGUGGACAAAAAUACUCUUUUUCCUCUCUUACUUAAAGUAAUGGGAAUAUGAUAAACAAGGAUGGAGUAUAUGAAAAUUUCACCCUAUGAAAACCACAGGUGCAUGCAUGGUAAUUAAACUCUUUUCAAAUCAAUCAAAAUGAUGUUUUCAAAUCAAUCAUAAAAGUUUGGUAAAAAAAUUAGAGUUCAAGAGAAAGAAGGCGGCAUGAAUUUUUGUUUUGGUUUUGUUUUGAGUGGAAGAAAGUAUUUUUUUUAGGAAAAAUUAUAUGGAUGUGAUAUAUACUGUUGUUAUUUAGUUAAAUCUUUCCUUUUUAUUUUGGGAGCCGAUUUCCCCACUCCUAUUUUCUGUACUUACACUUCCUUUUGCUUUUAAAUACUUUUUAAUCAAUUUUGUUCAUUCUCUUUCAUAUUCUACCAUUAUCCUACAUUAAUUUCCUUUUUACUUCACUUUUAUAUUAUUUCUUUUUCUUUAUACUUAAUUUUUUUUUAACUUACACUCCCUUUUCAGUAUUAAAAGGGAGGAAAAAAAAUUAAUUUUUUACUCAAUUAAAAGGAAAAAAAAAACCAAAAAUGGAGUGCAGUGGUGCCACUUGCACCAUGUUAAGGCCGCCCCUUUUAAUCUCCUUUUCAUGCAUGUUUUCAGCGUGGGAGGCAAAGGCGUGUCAUGACAGCAUGUUUACUUUACAAUAUAUCGAUCGAAUUAUUGAUGGGUUAAUUCUCAGUUAACGUUGGAUAAUAUUAUUUUAGUAAAAAACCACUAUAGUUUUUAGUUUUUGUGGAUUUGGAUUUUGGCCUACCACAGCAACAGCCUGCAAUACCGGAGAAGCUAUAUAGCUAGAGUCUUUUGGUUAUUUACUUACUUUGCUGUGAGAGGAGAAAGAAUUUUGUGGGUUGCGAAAGGGAUCGGUGGGUAUGAGGAUCGCAGAUUGGGAGAUUGGAAGAGAGAGAGGAGACGGUGGUAAGUUGGAAUAGUGAGAGAACGGUGUUUAUGUUGCCAAAUCAAAAUUACGGCUAGUCCCCUUGUUACAAAAAAAGAAAAAGAAAAAGAUCUAAAACCCUUUUCUCUUCUCUCCUAUCUUUCUCCCAGCUAUCUUUCUCUCCUCUCCUACCUCUUCUCUCCUAUCUUUCUCCCAGCUCAAUUUCAAAUAAGUUCAUAGGUUUUCAACAAAAAAGAGAAAAAAGAUCAUUUAUGUUUAUUUAAUGGCAAGUUUGACGGAAUGAAGCCGUAACGUUUAUAUUAAAAAAAGGUCAAGGGGAUUCUAGCAAAGAAAAUCGCAGCAAAUUAAGAUCCAAAUCCCUUUGUAAAUCCCUCUUUAUGGAGAUUAAUAUAUACAUGCAUAAAUUCUCAAAUAAUUUGGUAUCAAAGGGUGCCAACUUAAUUGGUCUGAUAGAUUAUAUGUGGUUGAGUUAGGGACAAUAUCCAUAAUAUUGGUAGUAGUAGACCGAUGAUAUACACCGUCUCGACGUUCAUAUAUGAGUUGAACCUAAGACAUAUCCUCCAAUCAAAUAUGGCACCUUUCCUUCAUAUAUAUUGUGGUUAUUUUGCACAAAAUUGAUGCGUACGUUAGUUUAAGAGUGUUACUAUUUCCACCCACUUGUCCUAUUUCCCCACCCACAUUAUCUUUAAAAUUUUAAAAACAAAUUUACCCCUUUGUAAAAUGACUUCUAAGGACUUAGGGAAAAAAUCUCAACACACCUUUAGCCUCCACAGCCUCCACAGCCUCCGCAGCCUUCAACGUCUUAUCAAUGUUCUCAUGUGCUUUCAGGAUAAAAUUUGUAUGUACUAUAUUCAAACAAACCCAAUAAGAAAAUAUGAACAAAGGAUUAAAAUUGUGAAAGAAAUUCAAAAUCCCAACACUUCCUGAGAGAUCGUUUAAUUUCUGUAGGGAUUCAUGUUUAACACAUGUUGGAUAUCUUCCAGCUGUGCCCAUCUAUAGUUAUAUAGCUAGGUUAGAGAGGGUGAGGGAGAGACAAAGACAGACGCUUUCACUAUAAAUAGGUAAGAACCAUAGCUCUUCAACUCACACCAAUCCUUGAGCAAUUAAGAUUAUUAUUCUCUACCUUCGAUCUCUUCCAGAUUCUAAACUAGCAAUACAAUGUCUGUUCCAGUUUCACUUUCAUCGGAUCAACCUCAAACCCCUAAGGCCACUCCUGAUGAUGUUAAUCGACGUUGUGCUAAUUUUUCUCCGAGCAUGUGGGGCUAUCAUUUUCUGUCAUAUGCUUCUGUGGUAGGCUAAUACUAUAUAUACUUCGUAUCUGCAACAAUUAUUUUGAAUAUGUAUAUAUAUAUAGAGUCCCGUUCUCUUGGACCCCUGGGGUCCAAGGAACUUGUGGUCACCCACCGUUAGAUGUAAAUUCAACGGUUGACUUGAAUCGGGUAAUAAUCAUUUAUGUCAUAUUGCAUUUAUAUAUAUCAUUUUGAACCAUUGGAUUAAUAUCCAACGGUGGGUGACCACAAUCUCUUGGACUCCAGGGGUCCAAGAGAUCGGGACUCUAUAUAUAUAUAUGUUUUUUAUGAACAAGAGGGGAAUAAAUAUGUAUAUUUUCAUUACUAGAGAUUCAUGGUUUAAAUUUGCAUGCACCAUGCUGAAGUUCCUAUCUUUUUAAUGGCCUUUCAAUCUGUUUUUGUAGGAAACAAACAUCAAAGCUAAGCAACGUGCCCAAGAACUGAAGGAAAAAGUGAAGAUGAUCAUAAUGGCUCCUGUUAAAAAGCCUUCACAAAAAUUGGACUUGAUUCAUGACAUCCAGCGCUUAGGUGUCUCUCACCAUUUUGAAAAUGAGAUUGAGGAACUUCUGCAGCAGAUUCACACCAGCUCCCAUUGCAAUCCUGAGUCUGGGGACCAAGAAACUGAUAAUGAGCUUUACACUGCAGCGCUCCGAUUUCGAUUACUCAGACAACAAGGUUAUAAUAUUUCAUGCGGUACGUAGCCCUCAUGGUUUGUUUUAUAAUUAUGGAUAAUUUUCUUCCUCUGAUCAUGGUUUGUUUUAAAAAUGCCUCAUCAUGCAGAUAUAUUCAAUAAUUUCAAGGACAGUGAUGGGAAAUUUAAGGAAUCUCUGGUGAAUGAUGUAGUAGGACUUUUAAGCUUGUACGAAGCCACACAUCUUAGGAUCCACGGAGAGGAUAUACUUGAUGAGGCCUUAACCUUCACCACCACUCAUCUUGAAUCCGCAACGCACCGUUUAAGCCCCGUACUAUUGAAACAAGUCACUCAUGCCCUGUACCAGCCAUUCUGGAAGGGCUUGCCAAGGCUAGAAACAAGGCAUUACCUGUCUCUCUAUCAAGAACGCGAUUCACAUAACGAGACUCUCCUGAAUUUCGCAAAGCUGGAUUUCAAUCUGCUGCAACAAGUUCAUCAAAGAGAACUAAGUGAAAUUUCAAGGUUAAUGUAUUAUAUAUUGUCAAUCAGUUUUAAUCUCCUAUUUACAUUAGCAUAAUGUAAUUAAUUCAUGCAGGUGGUGGAAGGACUUAGACUUUGUAAACAAGCUACCUUUUGCAAGAGACAGAGUAGUUGAGAGCUACUUUUGGGCUUCGGGAGUACACUUUGAGCCCCAAUAUUACCUUGCUAGGGGAACACUAUGCAAAGUUACUGCUUUGUUAGUCAUCAUUGAUGACAUCUAUGAUGUGUGUGGCACACAUGAGGAAUUAGAGCUCUUUACUGAAGCUGUUGAAAGGUUCAAAAUAGUAGUCCUUAUUUUGUUAGUUAGUUUUUUGAAAAAAAAAAACCUGAGUGAUUGAGGAAAUUUUACAGAUGACACUCCAAAAGUCAUCGUACACUGGAGUGUCUAUAAGAGCAUCCACAGUUGGGGGUGGGGGGGGGAGGGGGGGUUGUAUUUUCGGGGGUGUAAAACCACUUUUACAUCUCAUUUACACCUCCGGGGGGUGUAAAUACGUUUUUUUGCUCCAAUAGGAAACGAUGUAAAUCUAAGAUGUAUAAUUUUUCCUCUCUUUUUUCAGGUGGGUCCCGCCUGCAAAAGAUGUAAAAAUAGAUGCAAAUGUGCAUUUUAUUUUACAUCUCCAUGGUGGUGAUGUAUGUUUACACCCCUUCACAUCUCCCCAUUGGAGAUGAUUCCGGUGACAAGGUGUAUAUUUAACAUACACCCCUUUAUACACCCUCCCAUUGUGGAUAUGCUCUAACAGCUCCUCAUAGUAUAUCUGAAUAAGCCGUAACAAGACAUGCAUAGUCUUAUAUCAUCUUAUUUAUAUGAUAAGGUGGGACAUAUCUGCUAUGGAUCAUCUGCCAGAAUACAUGAAAGUUUGCUAUCAGGCACUAUUGGAUGUUUACGUUGAAAUUGAAGAAAAUCUUGCAAAUGAGGGAAACUUAUAUAGCAUCCACUACGCAAGAGAAGCAGUGAGCCUCAUGAAUUAAUAUUUUCGUGCCUAUAAUAUUAUGCCAUUACCAAUUAGAGUUUUUUUAUAUUUAAAUUUUAUAAUAAAUAUAAAUAUUUUAUUUUUAAAUAUUAGUAAGUCAAUCUAAAUGUAAUAAAUAUGUUCAUUUUUUAAUACAUUUUUUUAACUAAGGGCAUUUUUUGGUAUUUUGAAUAUUUUAUCAUUUUCUGUCUUUCUCUUUUUAUAAAUAGAUUAUAUAUAAAAACUUUUUUUUUUGGUUACUGGUUUUGCAUGAAAUUUCAAUUUGGUCACUAGGCUUAAAUUUUUUUUUUUCCCAAUGAUGAAAUUGAAUUUGUGUGUAAAACUCAGUGACAAAAUGUUUUUUUUCCGUUUUUUUAUGUCAGCACGUUUUUUUGUGUGUGAUGAAAUUAUAGAGAGAUUAGAGAUUAAUUACAUGGUUUGGUCUCUCAGAUGAAAGUCCAAGUUAGAGCUUACCUCCGAGAAGCCAAAUGGUUCCAUCAGAAAUACACACCAACAAUGGAUGAAUACAUGUCGGCAGCGCUUGAUACAUCCUACUUCACGUUGGCAACCACAUCCUUUGUUGGAAUGGGAGAUAUUGCUACCAAAGACUCCAUGGAUUGGGUGUUCGACGACCCUAAAAUGGUAAAGGCUGCAUCAUUAAUUGGUAGAAUCAUGAAUGACAUCAAAUCCCGCCAGGUACUUUUAUAUAUCAAAAGUACUAAUUAAAAUAACAGUAGUUUAUUUGAAUUAUAGAGAACUUGAGAUAGAUCUCAAAACCAAAAAUUCAACUAAAAGUUGGGUUUAGUUCACACAUUUGUUGUUGUUGAUCUAAGUCCUUUGCCUCGUACGUGUAUAAGAUUACUUCUUUUUUUCAAUUCUAAUGUAGACAUUUUGUUUUUUCGUUUCUUAAUUAUUUGAAAUGUCCCCAUAACUUACCCCUUUCAAGCCUUAACCUUCAUGUCUAUAUUCAUGCAGUUUGAGCAAAAGAGAGGACAUGUUGCCUCAGCUGUGGAAUGCUACAUGAAAGAAUAUGGUGCCACAGAAGAAGAAGCAAAUAUCGAACUACGCAAGCAAGUGAAUAAUGCAUGGAAGGACAUAAACGAAACGUAUAUCCAGAACACCACCAUCCCCAUGCCCCUGUUACUGCGAAUUUUGAAUCUUGCACGUGUGAUUGAAGUUUUAUACAAGCAUGGUGAUGGCUUUACUCAUGCUGGAAUUUUUCUCAAGGAUUCUGUAGUUUCUCUGUUUGUAGAACCUGUGCCCCUGUAGGCCUAGAAUUUGAGCUUGUCCUUUGUUGGAGCAUAAAAUUUCUGGUCCUCCAACAAGUAAUCUUAUGUCCUUGUUCAGAAGCCGAUCACCAUACUUCGCUUGCCACAAAUGAGAGAGAAGGGAGUACCUGCAAGACAACACACAGAUGCCCAAAUCAGUGUCUAGAAAUAUCAUAGUAGAAUCAGAAUAUCCCUUACCCAAGUCCUGUAGUAAAAUAAGGAGCCAGUCUUCCAUGAUUGGAACCAUUAUUUGAAUUAAUUAGUUUGGUGUUUCUGUUUGUUCUUGAUUCUAUGAAUGAAAUAAAAUGUGUUUAACUUUUUAGCAUA